UACAGAGGUCUCAAGCGUUGUUCGGAUUCAUUGGGCGUAAAGGGUGCGUAGGCGGCGCGGUAAGUCGGGUGUGAAAUCUUGGAGCUUAACUCCGAAACUGCAUUCGAUACUGCCGUGCUUGAGGACUGGAGAGGAGACUGGAAUUUACGGUGUAGCGGUGAAAUGCGUAGAUAUCGUAAGGAAGACCGGUGGCGAAGGCGGGUCUCUGGGCCUUACCUGACGCUCAGGUGCGAAAGCUAGGGGAGCGAACAGG
rnacentral:rRNA from 1 species